rnacentral:tRNA from 1 species
AAGGGAGACCUAAUUCGGGUAGGAGACGAAAAAAAAGUAGUCGCUACCAAGAAUCAAUCCCAAAAGGUCGGAGCGAGGCGAAAUUGGCUUUCAAACUAGGUUCUGGGUUCAAACAAGACCUGAAUCAGGAACAAGGGCUAUUAGCUCAGGUGGUUAGAGCGCACCCCUGAUAAGGGUGAGGUCCCUGGUUCGAGUCCAGGAUGGCCCACCUGUACAGGUGGCAAAAACAAAGAAAAGAAGCGAGGAAUCAGCACCUUAUCUUACUUAUAUAGUAAAAGAGAAUGCUGGCUCUGAGUAAAGAGUCCAGAGGAACCUUGAAAACUGCAUAGAGCUAGGUGAAAAAGCCAAAAAAGAAGACCGCAA